rnacentral:rRNA from 1 species
AGAGUUUGAUCCUGGCUCAGAUUGAACGCUGGCGGCAUGCCUUACACAUGCAAGUCGAACGGCAGCACGGGAGCAAUCCUGGUGGCGAGUGGCGAACGGGUGAGUAAUACAUCGGAACGUGCCCAGUUGUGGGGGAUAGCCCGGCGAAAGCCGGAUUAAUACCGCAUACGACCUACGGGUGAAAGCGGGGGAUCGCAAGACCUCGCGCAAUUGGAGCGGCCGAUGGCAGAUUAGCUUGUUGGUGGGGUAAAAGCCUUCCAAGGCGACGAUCUGUAGCUGGUCUGAGAGGACGACCAGCCACACUGGGACUGAGACACGGCCCAGACUCCUACGGGAGGCAGCAGUGGGGAAUUUUGGACAAUGGGCGCAAGCCUGAUCCAGCCAUGCCGCGUGUGGGAAGAAGGCCUUCGAGUUGUAAACCACUUUUGUCAGGGAAGAAACGGUCUGAUCUAAUAAAUCGGACUAAUGACGGUACCUGAAGAAUAAGCACCGGCUAACUACGUGCCAGCAGCCGCGGUAAUACGUAGGGUGCAAGCGUUAAUCGGAAUUACUGGGCGUAAAGCGUGCGCAGGCGGCUAUGCAAGACAGAUGUGAAAUCCCCGGGCUCAACCUGGGAACUGCAUUUGUGACUGCAUGGCUAGAGUACGGCAGAGGGGGAUGGAAUUCCGCGUGUAGCAGUGAAAUGCGUAGAUAUGCGGAGGAACACCGAUGGCGAAGGCAAUCCCCUGGGCCUGUACUGACGCUUAUGCACGAAAGCGUGGGGGAGCAAACAGGAUUAGAUACCCUGGUAGUCCACGCCCUAAACGAUGUCAACUGGUUGUUGGACGGCUUGCUGUUCAGUAACGAAGCUAACGCGUGAAGUUGACCGCCUGGGGAGUACGGCCGCAAGGUUGAAACUCAAAGGAAUUGACGGGGACCCGCACAAGCGGUGGAUGAUGUGGUUUAAUUCGAUGCAACGCGAAAAACCUUACCUACCCUUGACAUGUCUAGAGGUUUCCAGAGAUGGAUUCGUGCUCGAAAGAGAACUAGAACACAGGUGCUGCAUGGCCGUCGUCAGCUCGUGUCGUGAGAUGUUGGGUUAAGUCCCGCAACGAGCGCAACCCUUAUCAUUAGUUGCUCCGCAAGGGCACUCUAAUGAGACUGCCGGUGACAAACCGGAGGAAGGUGGGGAUGACGUCAGGUCAUCAUGGCCCUUAUGGGUAGGGCUACACACGUCAUACAAUGGCCGGUACAGAGGGCUGCCAACUCGCGAGAGGGAGCUAAUCUCAGAAAACCGGCCGUAGUCCGGAUCGCAGUCUGCAACUCGACUGCGUGAAGUCGGAAUCGCUAGUAAUCGCGGAUCAGCUUGCCGCGGUGAAUACGUUCCCGGGUCUUGUACACACCGCCCGUCACACCAUGGGAGCGGGUUCUGCCAGAAGUAGUUAGCCUAACCGCAAGGAGGGCGAUUACCACGGCAGGGUUCGUGACUGGGGUGAAGUCGAAACAAGGUA